UACGUAGGGGGCAAGCGUUGUCCGGAAUCAUUGGGCGUAAAGCGCGUGUAGGCGGUUCAGUAAGUCUGCUGUGAAAGUCCAGGGCUCAACCCUGGGAUGCCGGUGGAUACUGCUGGGCUAGAGUACGGAAGAGGCGAGUGGAAUUCCUGGUGUAGCGGUGAAAUGCGCAGAUAUCAGGAGGAACACCGAUGGCGAAGGCAGGUCUCUGGGCAUUAACUGACGCUGAGGAGCGAAAGCGUGGGGAGCGAACAGG
rnacentral:rRNA from 1 species